rnacentral:misc_RNA from 1 species
UAUACCUGAGUUUUGACAAAGGUUAUUCCAUGCCUGUCGCAAUCAUCGUCGAUAUUUUCAAGCUCCUCGAGAAUUCCAGCGCACUGUUCGCAGUCAUACAUUCCUGCUUGGCAGUUGGCAGCGGCUGUGGGACUGUCAGACUUACAAAAGUACACAGCCAGGGCGUCAGAUUCUCGAAUAAGAUGAAGAAGAUCUUCUCCCUCCAGAGCCUCGAUCACUUCUCCAGAUGGAUCUUUCUGGGUCAAAAGCCACUGUAAAAUUUGUUCCUCGUCGUAAAGGUCGCCUGAGAGAAAACGUUCGAAUAAGUUUAUCUGACCAGCCGUUUGACAUCGAGAAAGAAAAUGUGCAG